rnacentral:rRNA from 1 species
UACGUAGGGUGCGAGCGUUGUCCGGAAUUAUUGGGCGUAAAGAGCUUGUAGGCGGUUUGUCGCGUCUGCUGUGAAAAUCCGGGGCUCAACCCCGGACUUGCAGUGGGUACGGGCAGACUAGAGUGUGGUAGGGGGAGACUGGAAUUCCUGGUGUAGCGGUGAAAUGCGCAGAUAUCAGGAGGAACACCGAUGGCGAAGGCAGGUCUCUGGGCCACUACUGACGCUGAGACGCGAAAGCGUGGGGAGCAAACAGG